GGACAGAGUGAGCGAUGAAUUUCUUUCAAGUUAUGUAGUAUUGAUCAAUACAGGGUACAACGGGGCUGAUCACCCUCCGUACCCAUAAGCUAGAGCGGUUUGCGGAUGAAUUUCUGCUAAACCUUUUCGAAAAUGAAAAGAAUGUUCAUAGUAUGAUUCUUAAACCCUAUUCAUGGGUAGAGCCAGAGCCAAAUUUAAAUAAUUUGGAAGAGAGUUGUUAUGUGAAUUUUUAUCAGUACAGAUUACUUCACAACUUUUGAUUCGUUGUAGAAGUGUUAUGUAAAGAGAAUACUUAUAUUCUUUCAGUCUAUAUAUAUAUUGCUAUUACUUGCUGGGCACUCAAAUGCUCAUCCUUGCUUAAACUAAAUGUUUUCAGUUACGUAUGAGCAACCUGAAGGUUCAGGCACGCAUAAAGGGAAAGAAGAGCUGUUCGAAUGUGAAUUAGUAUGAGUUAAUGGUUAUAGUUAGUAAGAAAAUGGAAUCUAUUGUCAGAUAUUGUAAGGAAUGUAUUUGAAGGUCACGUACCUGGGGAAGUAAACUUUGAUGUAUGUAAAUUAAGUUCGAAUGUAUUAUUAUUUAGUAUUAUUCAGCUUAAAGAAAUGGUAUCGUG
rnacentral:lncRNA from 1 species